AUACGGAGGAUCCGAGCGUUAUCCGGAUUUAUUGGGUUUAAAGGGUGCGCAGGCGGGAGAUUAAGUCGGCGGUGAAAUUUUGCAGCUCAACUGUAAAAGUGCCUUCGAAACUGGGUUCCUUGAGUGUAGAUGAAGUAGGCGGAAUUUGUGGUGUAGCGGUGAAAUGCAUAGAUAUCACGAGGAACUCCGAUUGCGCAGGCAGCUUACUAAACGACUACUGACGCUCAGGCACGAAGGCGUGGGGAUCAAACAGGAUUAGAUACCCUGGUAGUCCACGCUGUAAACGAUGAUUACUAGCUGUUUGCGAUACAAUGUAAGCGGCUGAGCGAAAGCGUUAAGUAAUCCACCUGGGGAGUACGUUCGCAAGAAUGAAACUCAAAGGAAUUGACGGGG
rnacentral:rRNA from 1 species